AAAUUGAGUGUGGCAGGGGGAUUCUGUGACCACAAAGGUGGUUUUCGCAGGGCGAGGCCUGUCCAUUGCACUCCGGAUGUGCUGACCCCUGCGAUUUCUGCAAAUGUGGGAAACUCGAUUGCAUAAUUUGUGGUAGCAGGGGAUUACGUUUGCACUUUCCCCUG
ensembl:snRNA U1 U1 spliceosomal RNA